AGAAAGAGAGAGAGAGAGAGAGAGAGAGAGAGAGAGAGAGAGAGAGAGAGAAAGAGUGUGUGUGUGUUUAAGGGGAAAGAGUAUGAAUGUAUGUAUGCAUGUAUAAAUGCAUGUAUGCAUAUAUGUCUGUAUGCAUCUGUGUAUGAAUAUAUGUGUGAAUGUAUGUAUGAAUGAAUAUAUGUAUGUGCGUAUGAUGAAUGUAUAUAUGCAUAUAUGUCUAUGCAUGUGUGUAUGUAUGUAUGCAUGUAUGUAUGAAUGUAUGCAUGUAUGUAUGAAUGAAUAUAUGUAUGUAUGAUGUAUGUGUGUAUGAUAUAUAUAUGUAUGAAUGAUGUAUGUAUGCAUGCAUACAUGCAUGCAUGCAUGACGGGCUUCUCUCCUUCCUUUCCAUGGGUUCCAGGUAUCAAAC
rnacentral:lncRNA from 1 species